UACAGAGGGGGCGAGCGUUAUUCGGAAUUAUUGGGCGUAAAGGGCGCGUAGGCGGCUUUUCAAGUGACGGGUGAAAUCCCUCGGCUUAACCGAGGAACUGCCUGUCAGACUGGAAGGCUUGAGACCGGGAGAGGUGAGUGGAAUUCCCAGUGUAGAGGUGAAAUUCGUAGAUAUUCGGAAGAACACCAGUGGCGAAGGCGACUCUCUGGUCUGUAACUGACGCUGAGGCGCGAAAGCGUGGGGAGCGAACAGG
rnacentral:rRNA from 1 species